rnacentral:piRNA from 1 species
CAUGCUGGGCUGGGACUACUGAUCUCU